rnacentral:rRNA from 1 species
AUUGAACGCUGGCGGAAUGCUUUACACAUGCAAGUCGAACGGUAGAGGGGGCAACCCCUCGAGAGUGGCGAACGGGUGAGUAAUAUAUCGGAACGUGCCCAGUCGUGGGGGAUAACGUAGCGAAAGUUACGCUAAUACCGCAUACGAUCUAAGGAUGAAAGCGGGGGAUCGCAAGACCUCGCGCGAUUGGAGCGGCCGAUGUCAGAUUAGGUAGUUGGUGGGGUAAAGGCUCACCAAGCCAACGAUCUGUAGCUGGUCUGAGAGGACGACCAGCCACACUGGAACGGAGACACGGUCCAGACUCCUACGGGAGGCAGCAGUGGGGAAUUUUGGACAAUGGACGCAAGUCUGAUCCAGCCAUUCCGCGUGCAGGAUGAAGGCCCUCGGGUUGUAAACUGCUUUUGUACGGAACGAAAAGGUCUCUCUUAAUACGGGGGGCUCAUGACGGUACCGUAAGAAUAAGCACCGGCUAACUACGUGCCAGCAGCCGCAGUAA